GUGUCAGCAGCCGCGGUAAUACGGAGGGUGCAAGCGUUAUCCGGAUUCACUGGGUUUAAAGGGUGCGUAGGUGGGCAGGUAAGUCAGUGGUGAAAUCUCCGGGCUUAACCCGGAAACUGCCAUUGAUACUAUCUGUCUUGAAUACCGUGGAGGUGAGCGGAAUAUGUCAUGUAGCGGUGAAAUGCUUAGAUAUGACAUAGAACACCAAUUGCGAAGGCAGCUCACUACGCGAAUAUUGACACUGAGGCACGAAAGCGUGGGGAUCAAACAGGAUUAGAUACCCCUGUAGUCC
rnacentral:rRNA from 1 species